GGCACCAUGGCUUCGCUGGCUAAAGCAUCUGUUUAGUAAACAUGAGAUCUUGGGUUCAACUCUGAGUGGUGCCU
rnacentral:tRNA from 1 species